rnacentral:lncRNA from 1 species
CGACUUAUAUUAAGGAACGGAUGGAGUAUUGUUUUUGGCAAUUGUACAUGGCAGUAACAGUCUACAAUAUUUGAAAAUCAAAUAAUUUUACCUAAUUCCGAAGCAGCAAUUCUUACAUAAAAAUCUAGCCCAGCUCCACUGUAAUCUCUGAUAUCAAUCAGGUCCUCAAACCACAACAUACACCAGAUUCCAUGUUGUCUGAUAUCUAUAUUUGAGUAAGCUGUACAAGAGCAGUUCUUCAAGCACAUGUUCUUACAGUCCUCAAGAUUAAUGUCGUUAUCAAACCAUGAAAGCCGUGUGUCUGGCAAUUUCCAACCAGAAUACUUUACAAAUUUGUCUCCACCACAGUCAAAUUUUGUUUUACGGACACACCCAUCUGACCAAUUUGCUAAUUUCCAUUUUUCUGGAAAUGUUGGUACGUAUCCUUGUAAACAUCCACAUAACUCGUUAACUCUUCCCGAUUUUCUGCUGUCACAACUCCCAUAUGCACCACAUAAUGCAUACUGUUCACAGACAUUAAUUUGAGCAGUCGAAGAUUUUUCCCACCUUUGGGUUGGAUCACUCCAUAUGAGAAAUUGUGCAAAUCCAUUCGGACACAACGCCAGUCUCACAAGGACAGAAGUAUUGGUAACACUGUAAAUGUAAUACAUUUCCUUCUGAGUGGAAACAGAUUUGGCUUGAUAACUUGGUCCGGGCAAAAUAAAAUCCACUCCAUUAAAUUGUACACCAUCCCACGGACCAAGCCUGAACUGUACAUUUGAAUUUUUGUACAAAAGUAUCUGUGGAUAUCCUUCAAGAUUGACCCUGAAUGUGAAAUUACUUGGAGAAGGAUCAGCAUCACUUUUCCAGGACGUGAGGUACCGGUUUAGGCGUUUUACCAAGUCCCAACCUAACUUCAUGCCUGGUAGAAUAUUGUCUGCAGGGUGAUCAAAACUUUGCCAAAGGUAAUUUUCAGGAUCUGUGUCAUCUCCAUACCUGUUAACAAGAUUUCCAUCAUCUAACAGCUGUGCCACAACAGGAUUGUUGGUCACGGAUGUUGAUGAGUUUGAUGACCAAAUUAUGCGUGUGGCCCCAUCAACAAGUGCUAAACUCCCAUUAGCAUCUACCCUUAAUACGCCUGAAGCAUCAGUAAGUGGAGUCUGUCGAUUUGCAACCCAUACGACUGUCCUGUUCGAUAUCUUUUUGUACCAAAUACCUACAUAUCGAUUCUUGGAGCUACCGGGGCUGAAGAAUCCCAGCUCGAAAUCUCCACCAGCUGAUUCAAUGGUACCAUUACCAUCAUCUCUAAUUGUCUGAUUUGUAGUUAUGGUGUCUACUGCAAUUGAUGUUACCAAGAUGGAGAAUAAUGCGGAGAAAAACAAAAUGAUGGUGAUGCCAUCCAUUGCUCUGUCUCUAAAAACCUUCAAUUUAUUGAUUUAUAAUCAUAUUUACCAAGUUUGAAAUGGCCAAUAUAUAUUCCAAGGCAAUGGAAUGAACAAUCAUCCAUUAUUGUUUAGUUUUACUGUCUCUUUCAAAAGUCAACAAGAUUAUAGUCUAUGUUAAUAUAAAAUGGUUCUCUCAGAAAAUUAAAUUUGGUAGUCGUUUGAACACACGGGCGUUACUUUUUCAAACUUGUGCCUAUAUUUAUUUAAUUUACACCGGUUUAUUUCUUAUUCAGGAUUAUAUUCUACUCCAACUUGGAAUGAGAAUCUUACAAUUUUUUAUGUUUAAAAAAUAAAAAAAAUAAGGUUUAGGCAUAGUGCUUAAAAUAAAAAUUUUAUUUUUAAAAAAAUUAUCAAAAAAUAAUAAUAAUUAGACUUAAAUUGGACAGAGGAAGGUAAUAUGACAAAUGGCAGCCCAUGGUAUUCGGCUCUCUAAUAUGACUCGCCGCAUGGUAUCCAUGAGGUCGAGGUUUCGAUCCUUUUAUAUAGGUUUCAAUAAAAGUAAACUAUUUCUUUUAAUGAACAAUUCACAAAUGAAAUUUAUUUAUUUUUAUUUAAAAGUUGGUAUUUAUUUGGAUUUGCCCGACUUUGUCAUCCAGGGCAGACAUUUUCUGGUCAAUAAUAGAGGAUCUAAGAAUUUAUAUUAUUCUCAGUUUUUGAACUUCUCUUCACAUAUAUAUCAUCUUUAUAUUAUAUACUAUUAUUCUCAUGUUUUAAAGUUCGAGAUUCAUUUUUAAAUGACUUAAUUAUGUAUUUCUAAAUGUAUUCAUAGUAUUACUAUCUCCAUUCCAAAAUUAGAUACAUAUUUUAACUUUUUAAAGUCAAUUCGCAAAAUUUUAAAACAAAAAGUUGAUAUAAUUUCGUUCUAAUUUUGAAAACAACAAAGGUGACAACUAAUAGUAUUUCAUAAUUAGUUUACAAUUAUUUUAUUUGUUUGUAUCAAAACUAAAUAACUUCACAUCAAUUCGCAAAUUGACUCUGAAAAAUCAAAAUACAUUUCUAAUUUUGAAACGGAAGGAGUAUUAGUUAAGAUUUUAGUUUUACAAUAGAAAAACGGGUUCAAUUUUUUUUUCUUUUCUAAUUAACUAGAGACAAAGUCAAAUGAAAUUUUGUUUAUUAAACGAAAGGGGAAGGGGAAGUAUAAUAUGCAGAUGCUAAAAGGUACAAGAACUAUCUAGGGCCAAGAAAUGUAACACUUAAAUUGUUGGAUAUAGAUUGGCUUGUACUUGUUGAAGGAUCUGUCAUACUUGUAAUUCGAGUAUAGAAACCAGGUUGAGUAGGUUUAGGCAGUUCAGUUUUACUAGUCAUCAUGGAUACCACAAAUGCCAUGCUCGGUCUGUCUUCUGGAUAGGUGUUGACACACAGUAACCCGAUUUGGAUAGCUCGAAGCACUUGAAACUGAUCAUAUGACUCUUUAAUUGCCCCAUCAAUUAGUUCCGAAAGCUUGUUCUCUCUAUAAAGUUUCCAGGCCUACAAAUGCAUCCAGAAAUUAUUUCAUAGUAGUUAUUAAUUGAAUUGAACAAUAAAUAAAAUGACGACGCAGGAAUCAUUUUUAUUGGCUUACAUAAUUCAAAAGGUUAAGGCUUUGAUCUGAAUCGUAGAAACGUCUCAUUUUCUUCCCACUUACAAUUUCUAGAACCAGCACACCAAAACUAUAGACAUCAGAUUUGACUGAGAAUGUUCCAUCAAGUGCAUACUCAGGAGACAUGUAACCACUGUAGGAAAGAUAAAUUGAAAAACAAGUGAUCAGUUUUAAAGACAUGGAAGUAAGUAGUUUGAAGCGUUAUAGAGAUUCUUACAUUGUCCCGACUACUCUCGUUGUCUGCGCUUCAGUUUCGGUUCCUAUGAAACUUUUAGCCAUGCCAAAGUCCGAAAUCCUUGGAUUCAUCUCAUAGUCGAGUAAAAUAUUGCUGGCUUUAAGAUCUCGAUGAAUGAUUCUUAAUCUAGAAUCUUGAUGAAGAUAUAGAAGCCCUCUAGCAAUUCCAUUUAUAAUGUUGUAACGCCUUGGCCAACCUAAUGACUUGCUUAGUUUCUGGUCUAUCAAAAUGUCAUCAAAGUUAAUCCAUAUUGCUCUAUUUACAGAUAUAUAUUGGAUAAUUCAUUAGGAAAGUAUAUUGAUUAUACUAAUCUAAUAUUUUUAAGUAUCAAACUUUAAGAAAAAUUAAUCAACAUGUGGAUGAUAGUCAUACCAAAGAGUAAGGAAUCUAAACUUUUGUUGGGCAUGUAUUCAUAGAUCAACAACAUUUCUCCCUCCCUAAUGCAGCAUCCUAGAAGCCUCACAAGAUUUCGGUGCUGAAGUUUGGCUAUACACGAAACUUCGGUCUUAAACUCAUCUAAUCCUUGUCUUGAAUCCUUUGAGAGCCUCUUCACCGCUAUUUCUUGACCGUCAUCCAAGAUACCCUGUAACAAUCAUUGUGGUUGUUUCAUAUGUUCCGUUAUUUUUAUCAUGAUGAUCUAUGUUGAAAUUGUUCAAGUCAUUUUAUAAUGUUGAUUUUCAGAAACAAACACCCAUGGAACACACUAUGGGGGCCAAAGAAUUACUUGGGAACAGCUCAUUUAUUAGAUACAAAAUUCACAAGAGUAUUCAUAAUUUCAUAUAUCUUUUAUAUAUCUACUAGUUCAAGGGAUCAUUUGUUAUCUGUAAUAUAUAGUAUUAUUUAAUAUAUAUAGAUAUGAUAAAACAGAACAUAAUUUUAUAUAUAUAUAUAUAUAUAUAUAUAUAUAUAUAUAUCACAGAAAAUAUUAAUAAAUAAAUCCGAGUUCUUUGAAUUCACAAAGUCUCCUUAAAGCAAAUUUAAUCCCCCACAGAUGCUAAGGGUUAAUUAAAUAAUUGCUUCCCAAGAUAAAACGAAUUUCAAUUCUUAAUUAGUAGCAUUACAAAAUUAAGAAUUCAUCGAACCAAAUUCAAUGUUUAUGUACUGAACUUAAUUUGAAUGUUAAUGAUGUAUGCAUGGAAAAACAUUGGGAAAAACUUACUGCAACACUUUUCAAUUUUGCGCAGAACGGGAACGGGAAUAUACUUAAGAACGGAACGGGAAUUUACUGACAGAACGGGGAACAGAAAUUUUCUGACAGAACGGGGAACAUGAAUUUUCUGCAGAACGGAACGGGACUGAAAUUUUCAAAACGGGAGGGAAAUUUUUUUUUUCCUUGAAAUGCUUUCCCACACCGUUUAUUUAUAGGAAAAUUUCGCAUGUAACCGUCGUCAAAACGACGUAGUAUUGUGAUGAUAAAAAAAUAUAUAUCAUGAACCCGCCCGUCAUGACCACGACCCGACCGGACCGGACCGGACUUUGAAGUCAAUUUUCUCAUUUAAUUCAAAUCUCAUUUCCAACAUCAUUUACUUUAAGUUCGAUAAACUCGUCGACAAGUUCAAGGUAGAAAUCUUCUGGUCAUGGUAAUUCUCAUAAAAUUUGUCGACAGUUGGAGUUUUGUGCUUUAAAUGUAAAACAUUUUCAUGAGAAAAAAAAUUUAGUUCCAUAUUGUGGUAUCAGGAUUAAUGCUUAGGAUGAAAGUUUUACCUUGUACACAGAUCCGAAGCCGCCCUCCCCAAGCUUAUUGUUGAUGGAGAAGCUAUUGGUGGCUUUGGCAAUUGCGAUGAAGUCAAAUAAUGGUAAUUCCAAAUCCUCCCUCUCAUUUUCAUGUGAGAACUCACUCUCUGGAUUGAGUUCUAAAUUUCCUGCAAAGUGAGAAGUGAAGCUCGUCUGUAAUUCUUGUUUCUCACCUAAAUUCUUAUUGUGAAAUGAGUAUGUCAGAGACAUUACCUUUUCUCCUCAGCAUUCUUUUCCUUAGUAGUAGGCCUAGUGGUACUAGCAGUACUAUUAAUACAGUAACAGCUGCGAUCAGCACUCCUCUCUUUGCUCCUGAGGUCCUCUUUGUCUCUGUGCAAACAAAAUUUAGCAUAUUAGGAAACAACUGAGAGCAGAACAGGAAAAAAAGUUUAUUAUUUGAAGUAGUGUUAUUGUACUUGGCAGUAAAAGUCUACAACAUUUGAAAAUCAAAUAAUUUUACCUAAUUCCGAAUCAGCAAUCCUUACAUAAAAAUCUAGCCCAACUCCGCUAUAAUCUCUGAUAUCAAUCAGGUCCUCAAACCAUAACAUGCACCCGAUUCCAUAUUGUCUGAUAUCUAUAUUUGAGUAAGCUGUACAAGAGCAGUUCUUCAAGCACAUGUUCUUACAGUCCUCAAGAUUAAUGUUGUUAUCAAACCAUGAAAGCUGUGUGUCUGGCAAUUUCCAACCAGAAUACUUUACAAAUUUGUCUCCACCACAGUCAAAUUUAGUUUUGCGGACACACCCAUCAGACCAAUUUGCUAAUUUCCAUUUUUCUGGAAAUGUUGGUACAUAUCCUUGUAAACAUCCACAUAACUCGUUAGCUCUUCCUGAUUUUCUGCUGUCACAACUCCCAUACGAACCACAUAAUGCAUACUGGUCACAGACAUCCCUUUGAGAAAUCAAAGAUUUUUCCCAACUUUGGGUUGGAUCACUCCAUGCGAGAAAUUGUGCAUUUCCAUCCGGCUGCAACACCAUUCUCAUAACAACAGAAGGAUUGGUAACACUGUAACUGUAAUACAUUUCCUUUGGAGUGGAAACAGGCUGGACUUCAAAAUUUGGUCCAGGCACAAGAAAAUCCACUCCAUUAAACUGUAUGCCAUCCCACGGACCAAGCCUGAACUGCACAUUUGAAUCUUUGUACAAAAGCACCCGUGGAUAUCCUUCAAGGUUGACCCUGAAUGUGAAAUUACCUGGAGAAGGAUCAGCAUCACUUUUCCAGGACGUGAGGUACCGGUCUAGUCGUUUUACCAAGUCCCAACCUAACUUCAUGCCUGGUAGAAAAUUGUCUGCAGGGUGAUCAAAACUUUGCCAAAGGUAAUUUUUAGGAUCUGUCUCAUCUGUAUGCCUGAUAACAAGAUUUCCAUCAUCUAACAGCUGUGCCACCACCGGAUUAUU